rnacentral:rRNA from 1 species
UACGUAGGGUGCGAGCGUUAAUCGGAAUUACUGGGCGUAAAGCGUGCGCAGGCGGUUUUGUAAGCCAGGUGUGAAAUCCCCGGGCUCAACCUGGGAAUGGCAUUUGGGACUGCAAGGCUGGAGUGCGGCAGAGGAGACUGGAAUUCCUGGUGUAGCAGUGAAAUGCGCAGAUAUCGGGAGGAACACCGGUGGCGAAGGCGGUUCUCUGGGCCUGUUCUGACGCUGAGGAGCGAAAGCGUGGGGAGCGAACAGG